AUGGGUUGCAUGCAUGCUCCCAGGAAGGGCCUGUCCUGGUUGGCUCUACCCUAACAGUGCAGCAUCACCACUUGGCUGAAGUUGACAUCUGAUGAAAUGAAGGAGAUUUACAAACUGGCCAACAAGGCCUGACUCCUUCACAAACCGGUGUGAUACAGAGAGACACAUGGUGUUGCACAAGUACGUUUUGUGACAGGCAAUAAAAUCUUAAGAAUUCUUAAGUCCAAAGGACUUGCUCCUGAUCUCCCUGAAGAUCUCUACCAUUUAAUUAAGAAAGCAGUUGCUGUUCAAAAGCAUCUUGAGAGGAAUAGAAAGGAUAAGGAUGCUAAAUUCUGUCUGAUUCUGAUAGAGCGUCAGAUUCACCAUUUGGCUUGAUAUUAUAAGACAAAGCGAGUCCUCCCUCCCAAUUGGAAAUAUGAGUCAUCUACAGCCUCUGUCCUGGUCGCAUAA
rnacentral:lncRNA from 1 species